GGCUUUGCUUUCGUCACUAUAGUACAAACCCCAGAAUUUGCACCUGUAUUAAGGAAAUCUUUUUCAAUAGUCAAUCAAGGCCGAGUCUCACUCCUGUAGGUGGUGUGACCGUAGCUAUGGAAUCAGGUCCGGCUGUGACCGAGUCAGGGAUGGUAUCAGAGCAGCUUCAACCCACACUUGAUCGAAAGGAGGAGGCGCCGUAAACACAGUUGAGGGAAUUGAGCACCGGUAAGUACCGUGCGUGUCCCCCGGGGCAUUCACUAUUCCUAUUUUAAGGGUUUAGUCUAU
rnacentral:lncRNA from 1 species